AAAAGGUGUCGGAAGCCAGGGUAAUGGUGCUUCAACAAAGGUCACAAUAGGUGUGCACCAUUAUCAACGGACGUACCGGUUCGUUCAUAUUGUUUACAUUCAUGACAUUAAUUGUAUCCUUCCUAGGAAAAAACGGAGUUCGUAUACAUGCAGUGUGACUGUCUGCCCAUGUCGCCAAUAGUGCCAGUUUUGGGAGGAAGUUCUUCUUUGUACUUGAUGCAGUCCAGUCAACGUUAUUUUCCAUCUCCAAAUUAUAAGAUGAUUGUUUGUGACCUAAAUACUACUGCAAAC
rnacentral:lncRNA from 1 species